rnacentral:rRNA from 1 species
AUGAACGCUGGCGGCGUGCCUAAUACAUGCAAGUCGAGCGAACAGACGAGGAGCUUGCUCCUCUGACGUUAGCGGCGGACGGGUGAGUAACACGUGGAUAACCUACCUAUAAGACUGGGAUAACUUCGGGAAACCGGAGCUAAUACCGGAUAAUAUAUUGAACCGCAUGGUUCAAUAGUGAAAGACGGUUUUGCUGUCACUUAUAGAUGGAUCCGCGCCGCAUUAGCUAGUUGGUAAGGUAACGGCUUACCAAGGCUACGAUGCGUAGCCGACCUGAGAGGGUGAUCGGCCACACUGGAACUGAGACACGGUCCAGACUCCUACGGGAGGCAGCAGUAGGGAAUCUUCCGCAAUGGGCGAAAGCCUGACGGAGCAACGCCGCGUGAGUGAUGAAGGUCUUCGGAUCGUAAAACUCUGUUAUUAGGGAAGAACAAAUGUGUAAGUAACUAUGCACGUCUUGACGGUACCUAAUCAGAAAGCCACGGCUAACUACGUG